rnacentral:rRNA from 1 species
AGAGUUUGAUCCUGGCUCAGAACGAACGCUGGCGGCGUGGAUUAGGCAUGCAAGUCGAACGAGAAGGUUUUUCUUUGAGUUUUCGGACAAGGAGAGAAACUGGAAAGUGGCGAAAGGGUGAGUAGCGCGUGAGUAAUUUGCCUCUAAGCCGGGGACAACCUUGCGAAAGCGAGAUUAAUACCGGAUGUGGUCCCCCGAUGCAUAUCGGGGUGUCUAAAGGUGGGGACCUUCGGGCCUACCGCUUGGAGAUGAGCUCGCGUCCCAUCAGCUUGUUGGUAGGGUAACGGCCUACCAAGGCUUACGGGUAGCUGGUCUGAGAGGAUGAUCAGCCACACUGGGACUGAGACACUGCCCAGACUCCUACGGGAGGCUGCAGUCGAGAAUCAUUCGCAAUGCGCGAAAGCGUGACGAUGCGACGCCGCGUGCAGGAUGAAGGCCCUUGGGUCGUAAACUGCUGUCAUGGGGGAGUAAUGACUGUAGUGCAAAUAGCGCUACGGAGUGAUAGUACCCCAAGAGGAAGCCACGGCUAACUCUGUGCUAGCAGCCGCGGUAAUACAGAGGUGGCUAGCGUUGUUCGGAUUUACUGGGCGUAAAGGGUGCGUAGGCGGCUUCGUAUGUCAGAUGUGAAAUCUUACCGUUCAUCGGUGAAAGUGCAUUUGAAACUGCGGGGCUAGAGUACGGGAGAGGAGAGCGGAAUUCUCGGUGUAGCGGUGAAAUGCGUAGAUAUCGAGAAGAACGCCGGAGGCGAAGGCGGCUCUCUGGAACGUAACUGACGCUGAGGCACGAAAGCUGGGGAGCAAACAGGAUUAGAUACCCUGGUAGUCCCAGCCGUAAACGUUGUACACUUGGUGUAGGGAGGUUUGUCCCUCUCUGUGCCGAAGCUAACGCAUUAAGUGUACCGCCUGGGGAAUACGGCCGCAAGGCUAAAACUCAAAGGAAUUGACGGGGGCCCGCACAAGCGGUGGAGCAUGUGGCUUAAUUCGAUGCAACGCGAAGAACCUUACCAGGGCUUGACAUGGUGACUCUUCGGAGGUGGGUGUGAAAGCACCCUUUAUACACACAGGUGCUGCAUGGCUGUCGUCAGCUCGUGCCGUAAGGUGUUGGGUUAAGUCCCGCAACGAGCGCAACCCUUGUGGUUAGUUGCUAGUAUCCUUCGGGAUGCGCACUCUAGCCAGACUGCCCGUUAUAAGCGGGAGGAAGGUGGGGAUGACGUCAAGUCAGUAUGGUCCUUAUGCCCUGGGCUGCACACGUGCUACAAUGGGCGGUACAGAGGGAAGCAAUAUCGCGAGGUGGAGCUAAUCCUUAAAACCGUCCUCAGUUCGGAUCGGAGUCUGAAACUCGACUCCGUGAAGUUGGAAUCGCUAGUAAAGGCGUAUCAGCUACGACGCCUUGAAUACGUUCCCGGGCCUUGUACACACCGCCCGUCACAUCACGAAAGUCGAUUGCACCCGAAGUCGCCGGCCUAACCCGCAAGGGAGGGAGGCGCCGAAGGUGUGAUUGGUGAUUGGGAUGAAGUCGUAACAAGGUA